rnacentral:lncRNA from 1 species
AGCAAGUUUUUUCUCUAGGAAAAAACAUUGACUGCCACACCAGUCAAUGCUGGUCACACCUGCCCACAGGCUGGGUGCUCAGGGAUGAGAACAGAUUAUACUACCAAAUCUCACUAAAGGAUUUUAGCCAUCUAUUUUUUUUUUUUUUUCCCUGGGACAUGCAGAAUAGGUUCUACAUCACAUCAGUAAACACAACACAGCACAUUCCCAUCUCAGUCAUGCCUACCCUCAUCUUGCCUUUGCCACUAGCUGCUACAGGUCAAAUUUCUGCUCUUGGGAUCUUGAAGAAACAUCCUAGAGCUUUCCCCCCAACACACCAUGAGUUAACUUUGAAUACAGAAACAUUCAUUAGCACUGUAUUUUAUCUUAAUUUCUCAUUCAUUCCCGAGGCUUAUAUUCCCCACUCUACAAGAAAUAUUUCUCAGUGCCUGGGCCUGCAUGUUCAUCAGCUCAAACACAUGAUGGAGAGCAGAGGAGCCAUCACAGAAGAGAGACGCUAUGAAAAGGUUCUCCAAGUGGUUGAGACAGGGUGGUCAGCAAAACUCAAGUGCAAAAGGAAAUGCAAGGAGAGCAAGAAAAAUCCUGAGGGCAAUACAUGUAGGUCUUGUAGGAGACUGAGAAGCAGCAACAAUGGAUGAGACAUAAGAAUUGUCCCACUUUACAGCUUUGCCUCUGGUCUUGGGUUCCCAAGUAGACUGCAACCAUUUUUAAUCAGGGACUGUCUUAAAUAAUGUUUUUGUACUAUGCAUCAAGUUUCUCAGCACUCCUCUGAUAUAAAUAAUUAUUCAACAGAAGCUGGUGUAUACCUGGCAAAGCUGUAAAUCAGAUCCCAUUAAGACCCAAGGUAAACCAGAGAUAAUGUCUUACAGGAAUUUAUCUAAGAUAAUAAACUGAGGAGGGGAGAGAACUGGUGAAAAUGGUCAAGGUUCAUGACAUGGUCUAUAAUUUCUUUCUUUGCUGGACUGGUAAUAGCUGAGCAGGAAAAUGAUCACAUUUAUAACAGGCCAUCUUAUUAGUGCAAGAAGAUGAAAAGGAAAUCCUCCAGUGUGUAGUUUGACUGGUCCUGUGAUCUGUUGUUGAGCCAUAAGCUGAUUGCUGGGGACAUGUCUGGACAAGGAGAGGAGCUGAGGUUAACUCGCUCUGCGGAGAGCUCGCCGUGCCCUCUGACAGUGAGCUCAGCAAACCCUAUGCAAAUGUCUUUUGCAAGUCUUUCAAGGGAAGAAAAUAAGCAAUACAAUACUGUACUGGUGGCACAAAAGGACUUUCGAAACUUCCAGUUAAUACUUGAAAGCAUUUCAAACUCUGCCGAGAGCAUUGGCCAAUAAUUUGCCAGGUUAGUUUGUUCCACCCUGCAGGAUAAAGGAUCAUGCAGAGGUAUGGCUUAGACUUCCUUGCCCCUACAGAUCUGUCUUUGCAAACAGAAAUGGGCACAACCUUUCAAAGAGAUGGCAUUUCCUGCUUUAAGUUAAAAAAAAAAAAAACAACAACAAAACAACACUCCAAACCAGUCAACCACCCAAUCAAAAAAAACCCCACCAAAAUACCCAACCCCAACCAACCCUCCCAAAUAGCUAUCGUUUAAAACAUUUUAUAUUUCCUUACAGAAAAGGGGGAUGGAGUUGGAGGACCAGAGGGACUGUACCAGCCCUGGUGCCCACUGAGCCCUUUGCACAAGGAAUAGCAGGAGAGGGUUUGUGCUGGUGGGGAGUGCCCACAGCAGCAGGGAGAUUGAGCCCAGGAGUGCCCAGGAAGAGAGAAGUCUACCUCAUGUAACAUAACCCAUUGGAAGGUGUUUCAGCCCCUGCACAGCUCACAGGUUAGGUCACAGACUGCAGAUGACAACAGUGGCAGCAGUGAUGUCACUGGCCACUGGGCACUUCUUACAGUGCACUUUUGGAGCUCUCUGCCAUUUCUGUGCUGUAAUAUUGCAGUUAAGCAAUUUUCUUCCCUAUCUGAGCUACAACAGGUUAAUUUUUUUAACAUUAGAAAUACUUAGAGACCAGCUUUUAAAAACAUUAUAUGAAAGAUGCUUGCUGUGGGAAAAUAAAUUUAAGAAUGACAUUGGCUUAAUAAAAGUACCAUGCUGCCUUUCAGACUAAUUUAAAACUUGAAUUGUAGCCAUUUUUAGCUUUAACAAAAUCAAUAAGGCCAAUUGGUGUGCUGUGCCAGGCAUUGCCUAUUUUAAUCUUUUAAAUAAUUUUGUCAGACAAUACCAUCUGGGGGGUUGAGUUCACCCCUGAAGAUCCUCUAGGAUUUUAGUGGGAUUUUCAUAUUGCUGCAGCCUUAAACAAUCAAGUCCUAAAUCGGUCACAAGUGCAUUAAAUAGAACAGGGCAAUAAGCUGGCAUUUGGCUCUAGUUUAGAUUUAAGAUGAUGCUCACUUCAAAAACACUUGGAUCGUGUGGUGGAAAUGGUAAAAUUGUUGAUGAUGACGUGAAAAGGACUGAGGUGUUCAGUAAAUAUUUUUGUUCUUUAUUUGGAAACAAGAAGAAUUAUGCACAAAUGUCAUGAGGACAAUGCAUUUUCCAUCCCAUUAGUAACCAAGGAAGCUAUUCAACAGCAUUACUAGAGAUAAACAUUAUUACCUUAGCAGGUCCAGACAACUGUCAUCUUCAGAACCAAAAUGAAUUGGCUCAGGGGAUCUUUGACCCACUCCCACUUAAUCUUGGAGGACUGCAAAUGUUUUAGGGGACUGGUGGAAUGCUACAUUUUGGGUAAAUUAUUAAAAAAAUCACUUGGGAAAUGCAAGUAAUUCUAAGCCAUCCAGUCAGCCAUUCUGGACAAAGUAAUGAAAUAUUAGUGUAGAAGUCAGCAAUAAAGAAUGCCAGUGUAUAUAAUAGGGGCCAACACAAUUUACAGGAAAAAAGGGUUGUGAAAGGAGCUUGAUUUUGUCUUUUCCAUAAAUUAUUUGCCUGGUUGAUAACAGCUUCUAAACAGAUAUAAGAGAGUUGCCUUUUGCAGACUGCUUUAUUGUUUGCAGUAAUUAUUGCAGUAAGUAAUAGCAUUAAGGUCAGUGAAUUAAGAAGUGACAAAUUGGCAAGUCUUAAGUGAAAUACAGGCCUCAGUAAGGACUUGGCAAGAAACAGAAUGAACCGGGUUUGAAUACUGCAGCCAGCAUCACUCUGUGCUUCUUCUAAGGUGUGUGGUUUGUGUAAAACUGACUUCUGCUAAAAACAUGAGGAUGUCUUGGUUUGUAGGGGUGCCAGUGAGCUGCUCUUGUACCACUGCCUUCCCUGCUACUGGCUAUUAAAAAAUAUCAUUGUAUAACUGCAUUGGACUGCUGCAGCUGGUCCUUUGGGAUUUAGGAAAUCCAGAGUGGUGCAGGACAGGAGCUCAGCCCUGGGGCCUCUCUCUGGGCUGCGGCAGGAAGGAUGAGAGCUGGUCAGACAGAGAAGCAAGUUGAUCUGAACUGCUCCACUCUUGUCCCUAUAACAGAGCCCCGAGAUAUCCCUCCAACCCUCAGCUCAGGAAAUCCCUUGCUGGCUGGAUUUGGGUCCUCCUGUGCAUUGCUCCUGGAAACUUCCCAGCCCCCUGUGCCACCGUCCAUUUCCAUGGACCCACUGGAGUGCAAGAGGCUCAGCACCUGGGAUUCUGGUUUUCAGUCACCAAAGCAGUCAUGCUGGGAGUAUUUAGCACAUCUGAGUGUUUCAUCUGUGCCCUGAAUGCUUUUCUUAGACAGCAUAAAAUUAAAAAGCUGAGAAGUAAACCUGAAGAUGCUGACAGCCUUACAUAGCACAAUUUCACAUCCUUGAGAACACACACUCCAAAUUCCUCUUCUGAGGAGGAAGAAAGGCAGGAAAAUCUUUGAACACCCUCAUCUAGUAGGAACAGAUCCCUCAAAAUCUCUUUAUGUUAGCUGAGCUUCUGACCACGUCCAUUUAUUCAGCUCUGUGUAAUUAUUGCUCUUGCCUUUUGGUGAUUAUUUUACUAUCCAUGAAGAAUUAUAAAGCCAUUAACCUGGAAGAGAAAAAGACAAAAGCCUGGGCAUGUGAGAAAGACUUUGAACACCAAAUUCAUUCACCAGCGUGUUCAGAAAGUUAAUUAACAAAAAGUCUGUCUCAAGGCAACUUCUGCUUACUACUAAUGGAUAUCAUGAAAAUUCAUAAACUUAUUGGUCCCAAUGGGAGGAUUUGCUGACUGGAGACUGCUGUGUGGGACCACAUCUCUCUAUUCCUUUGCAAUGGGAAGGUGGAGGAUGGCCAGAAAAGCCCCUCAUCCAUGUGAAGGAGUAAAUUCCUGAUGAGUUCAGCAAGGAAAGCUUUCACAUGCUGUGUUCUUGUCUGUCAGGAACACACAUCAUUCUGUGCUUAGGGAAAGGUUUAAACGGCAGCCUUUGCUAUUUGAAGAAAAACAAAGUUAUUGACCCAGAAUUAGCACUGCCAACUGCAGUUCAGGCAGCACUUUUACUUUGCUCUAGAUGUGAUGUGAAGCAGGAAGGUCCAGACUACAAAAGCUUGGGGACCCAUUCCCACUGGUGGCAGCCAUGUGCAGGCAGAGCCUGUGUGUGAUGAGAAGCAGGAGCUCACAGCUGCUCUGGAAAGUGAUGGUUUUCCUGUUAAUGGCUGUAUCCUCUCCCUCCCUGGCCACAGUCAAAGUGAAUUCCUGGAGGAAAAUGCAAAAAUACCUAUUUGCCCUGGGUGCAGCCUGGCUGCCAGAGCCUUCCUGAGGUGUGUGUGGCUUCCCUCUUCUAAACAGCCUUUUGGGAAUCUGCCCAGCCUCUCCUUAAACUCACAAUUGUUUCUAUCAUUUGCAAUAUAAUUGCACCAAAGGGAUAUAAGGCACAUGGGGUCGUGUUCUGCCUUCCUUCACCAGGGCACAGCUGAUACUGGCAGAGGCAGAGGGGAUUUAGGAUAUCUGUAUUGGAAGGGCUCAGUGCAUUUGGAGCUGUUAUAGAUCAGCUUGCGCAGAGUUUUUCUUCAGGCCCCUCUGCAAUGACUGUGAUUUCUUGGCACUGAGCUUUAGUGAUUCACCUGAGUGUGGCUCUGGAGGGCUUCCCACCACAACUGGUGUGCUCAGCAAGUCCAUCAGCUGAAUACAACUGCUAAGCCUUCUCUUGUGGGGGGGGAGACUUAAAAGAGAUUAAGUAAUUGCCUGCACUAAUCAGAACCAUAGACUUUACAAAUCAAUCUUGGCUCAGUUGCUGGAGAAAAGCAGCUUCUGGAUUUGAAGGGAGAUAGCAUAGCUAGAAGGCUGGUUUUGGGAGACAGGAAUGGGUGUUGGGAGGGUAGGAUGGAUUUCCUAAAAAUGACAGAAGCCAAAGAGCCAAAAAGCAACACAGAACUGACUCCAGAGCCUAUCUUCCUGCAGCAGGCAUGGGGCAAAUAGUACAGCCUGGGUGAAUGAGUGAAAACCUGGUUAGAAAGACAGAAGAGAAGGUAGAGAGAUGCCAUAAGGCACCAGGGGCAGCAUCACUUGGAGUCUAGGGAGGAGCCUGGCAGUCAGUGCUGCAGGUGGCAUUGCCAGUCAAAACAGAGAGUGGAAGAAUACACAGCAUUCCCCAGCACCCAAUCCAAUGCUCAUUCCAAUCAGGAGCUAAGCUGCUGCUCUUUUCAGCAGGGCAUGAUGGAACAGGGAAGUGGGGUGCAAGGCUUUGCAUAAUUUCAGCAACACUUCCCCUCACCACUGCUAUGCAGCAGUUCUACUAUCCAGAGUAUUAUUAAGAGGGUUUUUAUUGACCAAAUGACACAUCAUUUAGCCCCACCUGUGUCUAUUCAUGCUAUCUGUGUGUUGCAGUGCUUGUACUGUCCAUACCAACCCUCUGAAGCCACUGCCAGCAUAAACUGAAUGUUGCUGGUGUGCUCUCAAGGUGGGAUUGCAGUAGAUUACUCAGAGGACACAGGAGCAAGGCAGGGCAGGAAGUGAGCAAUAAGUCCACGGGCAGAUGUCCACACAGACAUUCCAGAUGAACACAACCACCCCAGCUGCAGAAGGGAGGGCAUCAGACAAGAAAACUUGUCAACCUGCAAUUCAGCACCUUGAAUAGGCAUAAUCCUUGGUGGCAUUAACAUUUCUGGUUUAAUUUUCAAGAUCUGUGUUGCUUGAACUUGUAUAUCUUGUGUCUAGCUCUAUGAUCUGAUCAAAUCAUAAGCCAGCAAAAUAAGUAAGCUCAAAAUUUUGGGGUAUGCCCAGCAGUUCUCUUUAAGGUGUUAGAAUAGAAUGGGAUAGUUCCAGUGGGAAGGGAUCUGCAAUGAUCAUCCUGUCCAGCAUCAAUAUUUACCUAUAAAAAGUUGUGCCUGUUCUCCCCAAAGCCACCUGCCUUGUCUGGUAGAUAUGCCCAGUACCUCCCACAGAGGACCAGACUGAGCAGAAUAUCCCAGGAGGUCUCACCCACAUCUGUUCUAUGGCCUUUGUCCUGCCUUCUAUCUGCUGGAAAUCCAUCCCCACCCAUUACAUCCUAGGAGAGGACACACCACUGUCAAGGCCACGGCAGCUGGUGGAUCCCAGUCCUCCUGCCCUCAGUGGAGGCACUGAUGUGUUCUCCUUCCCAGUCAUUCCCAAGUCUUGACUACCUGUUUGAUGGCAGAAACUCUAUUGUUACUCCAUCAGUUCAUGCUCACAGCAACUGAAUUUCCUCCCUUUCUCCUAUUUUUUUCCAUCUGUGCCCUACUGGGACACCCCAUCUGCCCUGAACUGGCAAUGAGUCUCCAGGUUUUUUUGUGGAAUGUCUCCAGCAGCUUCCCCCAAGGCUUUCCCUGCUACUCACAUUGCCCUGGCCAGUUUCUUACCUCACCACAUUUCUACCACUUCCCAUCUGAGGGCAUAAUUUCCCAAAUGGCACUUUACCAAUUGCUCUGAGAUACCAGGCAAGCAGUGUAUCAGUGCAGUAGAUCUUAUCUGGAAGAUCAGCUCUCUUAUCGAAGGGAGCUAACAGGUUAGGCUGGCAUGGUGGACUUUGGGUAAGCUCUGUUGCAUCUUAUCUCAUUUUCUGUUUGCUCCCAUGUUGGAUAAGUACUUAUCCCUUCAAAGCUUCUUUCAAAGCCUUUCAUCCCACUGAGGUGAGAUUACUCCAACCUGUGUUUGUCCUGAUUUCACCCUUCCUCUCUUCUUCCAGCUUUGUGCACAGAUGGAGUGUGUAACUUGUCCUAAUAUGUGAGCUUCUCCAGGUAAGAGCAUGUGUGCUGCCUUCCUUCCUGCAGGAGGUUUCACUGCAAGCUUUUAGCAAACAGCAACAGCCAGAAACAACCCAACCACCCCAAAACAGGAUGGUUCCAGCACUUCAGGGAGAGGAAAGAUGAGGGAUCAGGGAGUGUAGGGACACAACAAGGGCAGGCAGUUUUAAACUGAAGGAAAGGUAGAUUUAGAUUAGAUAUCAGGAAGAAAUUCUUUACUGGGAGGGUGCUGAGGCCCUGGCACAGGCUGUUCAGAAAGGUUUGGAAUGCCCCAUCCCUGGGAGUGUUCAAAGCCAGGCCCAGCCAGGCUGAGAAACUUGGUCUGGUGGAAGAAACCCCUGCCCAUGGCAAGGGUUUGGAACUGGAUGAUCUUUAAGGUCCCUUCCAACCCAAACCAAUUUAUUUUUCUGUGAUUCCGAGGUGCAGUGAGGUAGGGAAGGAAAGCAUGGCCUCAUUUCUCCUGUGCAGGUUUUGGAAGGUAACACACUGUCAUUGGCCAUGUGUCCACCCACCUGCAAUAAUUCUACAGCUCCCCAUCAGCUUUUAGAUGCACACUCAGGACAAUUAGUUUGUCCCCUCCUGAGGCAGUGAAAUUAAACUUGUUUCUUCCAUUUUACAGAACAAAAAAUAAGGCACAGGGGGACUAGGUCUGUGUCAUAUAAUACCAUAAUAGCAUAAAUACACAUAAUAACCAUGUAAUGACUAUUUAACAAUCUUUAGUCGCAUUCUUCAUUAUUUAUCCAACCUUCUAUCUGCUGGAGAUGCAUCCCCUUACAUGGUCCUAGGAGUGGACCAUGGGAGCUGCUGGAUCUCAGUCCUGCUGUCAUGGAGGCACAUCUUUUACAGUGCAGUGAAAAUCAAAAUGUGGUUUUGGUUGCUCAGUAAUUGCUUACUGUUGCCAAAAAUAUAAAGUAGGUUUUCACAGAAAAAGAAAAAAAAAA